GUUGUGAAAAUAACCUCUUUUUUCUAAUUGGUAGGACAGAUUUUUUUAUGAUUCCUAAAGUGGAAGAAAUAAAAUAUUUGUGCUAUGUUCAUUUUUUUUUGGAUUGACAGUUUUAAUCCUCAGUGAACCAGGGCAGAAAAGAAUGAUGAUAUCCUUGAGAAUUUUACUGGUGAUCCUGUGGCUUCAGUUAAGCUGGGUUUGGAGCCAACGGAAGGAGGUGGAGCAGGAUCCCGGACCCUUCAAUGUUCCAGAGGGAGCCACCGUCGCUUUCAACUGCACGUACAGCAACAGUGGUUCUCAGUCUUUCUUCUGGUACAGACAGGAUUGCAGGAAAGAACCUAAGUUGCUGAUGUCCGUCUACUCCAGCGGUAACGAAGAUGGAAGGUUUACAGCACAGCUCAAUAGAGCCAGCCAGUAUAUUUCCCUGCUCAUCAGAGACUCCCAGCUCAGUGAUUCAGCCACCUACCUCUGUGCGGUGAACACACAAGUGUGGCUCUAGCAACACAGGCAAACUAAUCUUUGGGCAAGGGACAACUUUACAAGUAAAACCAG